AUGCUUACCUGGCAGGGGAGAUACCAUGAUCACGAAGGUGGUUUUCCCAGGGCGAGGCUUAUCCAUUGCACUCCGGAUGUGCUGACCCCUGCGAUUUCCCCAAAUGUGGGAAACUCGACUGCAUAAUUUGUGGUAGUGGGGGACUGCGUUCGCGCUCUCCCCUA
rnacentral:snRNA from 1 species